GGUGACCGGCAGAACUUGGGGUGAUGGUGACAGAGGUCCACACAUGGGACAAAACGUGCAGAGGAAACACACAGGUGUGUACACACAAGUCAGGGGACAUCAGGAGAGGACUGGUGGCGUGCGUCAGCCAGGCGCAGUGGCGCACACCGUUGAUGAGGGCCACAACUAAGUUAAGAUGGCGCCUGGCAGUAUGCUAGGAGGAGUGGUUUGUGAGCCAACGCCAGUGAGCCAUUAAGAUGAUGAGGAUUCGUUAAUGACUGACUGCUGUGUCUAGAUGAUGUCCAUUAAGUUAAGCUGUGUGUAAUUAGUUGGGUAUAUGCACCUCUGCGGUCUGGCAGAGAAGCAGCUCCUGCUACCUUGGGUGCCCGCUACUUUGAGUUCUCAGUUCCUACUGAGUUCACUCACAAUAAAGUAGUUCCUGCUUCAGCCUUCAAGUUGCUUAUCACCUCUCAGUUAUUUUGCCCAGCCGGACUACAGCUCACCGUGAUCUCAGCGGUUUGGGAGGCUGAGGCAGGAGGCUCGAAAGCUCCAGGGCAGCCUGGGCAACUUGACCCCAUCUCAAGAUAAAAUAGGAAGUGGGGCUGGGGGUGCAGAUCAGUGGGACAGCCUCACACCUGUGAGGCCUGGGGUUGACACCUAGUGCCCCAAACAAAAUAAAAUAAUCCCUGUUAAGGUUUUAUACAAAUCAAGUAUGCUAAUCUCAAGACCCAAAAUCCAAAAGCCCCAACAUCUGAAAUUUUCAAGCUCCCUCAGGAUGCCACAAGCAGGAAAGUGAACGAGGCAGGCGGUAAACGGCUGGCGGAAGGGGAAUACUGCAGGAGCUCACCUUUGGCCUGAUGGGGAAGGUGUGCACUUAGCACAGGUGAGCUUGGUGUGCAGAGUUGGUCUGUCCCCAAGGUAUCGAGUAUGUAUUUGUAAAUAUUCUAAAAUCUGGAAAAAAAAAACUCUGAAAUCCAACACAUGUCUGGUCCCAAGCAUUUCAGAGAUGGGAUACCUAAUCUAAACUGGGGGUUUGCAAAAGGCAAAGGAGAGGAAAGUGGGUGAUGGGUAUGUGGGGUCUCCCCAGAUGGUUGCUUAUGUCUGCAAGUGAAUCUGCAGCCAUUCCAAUACAUUCAUAAAAACAAACAGAACACAUGCCUGACGCUGGGAAAUGAACAGAGACAGUAUGGAAAAGCUAAAAUUUCUUUUAGGAAGAUAUUGAUUCCUUGGAUUUGAUAUUUAGACAAAUAUAAUUUUAAAUACAUAUUUCAUAAAGGUGAAGGCAAUCAGUAGCAAAAUGGUUUAGAAUAAGAAAGGCUAUCUUUCUAAUAAAUUUAAAGGAUAAAUAUAAGAAACAAUUAAUAUAGCAAAAGACAGAAAACAAAAGAAAAUGGCUUUAAACCAGAAAUACUAAUAUAGGACCCAUGGAGUGUGGAUAAGCAGAUAUAAAAUGAUUAGCAACAGAUUAAACUACUCUAUUAAAGGGCAGAUUCUCUCAGAGUGGCUUAUAAGAUGAAUCUGAUGCUAUGAUUCUUAUAAAGAGAGAGAGAGAGACCUAAAAAAGCAGACUAUUAUAAAGGAAAAGGAUGGAUAAGGACCCACUAGUAGAAACAAAUGCCUUGCACAACUAGAACAUUCUCAUGAUUUAGGGGUGUCCUGGUCUCUUUGUGAUGCUAUAACAAAAUACUGCAGGCUGGGUAGCUUUUAAACAACAGAAACUUAUUCUUACAGUCUGGGGGCCGUGAAUCCAUGAUUAAAGUGCCAGCACAAGCCGUGGCCAGGAAGGUCUGCUUCCUAGAGGAUAGUCCUUCUCGCUGUAUUGUCACAUGGCAGAAGGGCACUCGGUACCUCACUCUUCCACAAGAGCCCUGAGUCCCCUCAGGAGGGUCCACUCCAGGACCUAACCACCUCCUUCCAUUUCUGAACUGCACGUAGCAUUCAGACCACAGCCAGGGGUGGUGCCGCGUCACCUCCUCAGAGAGCCCUGCUAGUCACAGCUGUUCCAAGCUGUGUGGUUCCCAUGGGGACUGCCCUCUAUUGAUUAUCCUGCUGGAUGAACUCAUGGAAUUCACAUGAUCUGAAGUUAUUUAUUAUCUGUUAGUUUAAGGCCUCCCCUCUUUCUCCCACCCCUCACACCAGAAUACAAAUCCCCAAGAGCAAGGUCCCUGUCACCUGGCCACCGUGAUACCACACUCCAUCCAACCCAGAGACCUGAGUAGGCUUCUGCGGAAGGGGUUGGUCACUCCCUCAAAGAUGGAGUGACAGUGUCGCAUACACACAGACACACAAAGAGGAAGGAGGAGCAACUGAGGCCGGUUUCACACCACCUGUCUCAGAGAGUGUGAGCAGACGCAGAAUAAAGAGGGACACACAGGGUUCCCACAGCAUCAUUCCUGAAGAGGGCACAUCACUCAUUCUGCUUCCUGAACUGGGAGGCCAGUCAUCCAACCCCAGCAUCAUUCUGCUGCAGCUGAACAUGAAUGGACACAAUCAGCACAAAGACAUCACCCGCCAGCAUCCUCGGAUCACAACGCAAAGGCGAGAAAUUAACAGCACGUUGAACAAAAAUGUUCAGUGACGUUCUCCCGAGUAGCUACGAAAAAGAGAGAGACUAAGCACAAUCAUAGGCCAUGUGACGAGUGACAACAGCAGUCACCAAGACCUCAGGACAGGGAAAGGCUGCACUGAGAAGAGGGUUCACAUCCGAAUCCCUUAGCUAAUAAAGACCAAAGAGCCAGUGUAACAGAAAUGUCCCUCAUCACAAGAGGAGGGGAAGUGCAGCGCAGACCAAGGGAAAAUACUAGAGCAGAGAACAGGAAAUAAGAAGAACUUUUCAUUCAAUAGAAGAGUAUAUUUUCUCCAAAAUGUUACUAAAAUAGAGCACCAUCUGGCCGGUCAGAUUAAUAGAAAUGAGAAAAACAACAGUUACAAUGGGAGACGCUAUAAUGAAAAGAGAAUGCUUGCCAACUAGUUUCCAAGCCACAUAUGUGCAAGUAACUGCUAAUAAAGAGGUGAUUCUGAGGACCCGGGAACUUCCUGAGGGUAAGGUAAAUUUUCAAAAUAGACUGAAGCACAAUUAACUUUUAAUGUUUAUCAAUCAAUUACCCCAAAAAACAAGAACCGCUCCACCACUGGACUGAUAGGUUAUGAACUGGCUCACUCAAAUUCAAAGUCUCGAGUACAUUCUAUACUAAAUAGAGAUUACUGCAGGUCACAGAAGAUGACAGUCAGUAAAUUAAUUUUCUCACACUGGUAUAACGAUGUUUCCAGACCUAGCAAUGACACUCAUAGAGUUUCUAUAAACUAUAGUCUCCUUUUAUUUAUAAAUAUGGAUUAAAAAAUCAAAAUUAAUCAUAAAUCAAAUUUUUAAAUUGCAUUAUAAAUUCAAAUUACAUUAAGAAAAUGACCUUCCACACAACAAAUAUUAGUCUUAGGAACAGAAGUUAUUUAAUAUUAGGAAAUUCAUUAAAUACCACAUCGUAUCAGUAAUUCAAAGCAGGAAUCACCAUAAUCCUAGUAUUACAGUCAAAAGACACUUGACAGAUAUUCAUGAUGUUAAAAAUCUUUGGGUUAGAGGUUAAUGUCCUGAAACACCAUCACCUCUAGAGGUUUUAGGAUGACUCUGUUCCCAGUGAGUACAAAUGGAUCUGAGAGAUACAUUGCCACAAAGUCGCUACUAUUUGUAGACAAAGUCUUGCAGACAAGAUAAGGUAAGAAAAUUAAUGGAAAAAUCUAGCACUUCUGUUCUGUUCCCCGAAAUUCAUAUACUGAAGGGUUCAAGCACCAAUGUGAUUGUGCCUGGAGCAGGGAGUCUUUCAGAGGUAAAGAGGUCACAGGCUGGGCCCACAGGAAUGACAUUAGUGGCCCACGAGGGACCCCAGACUUCCCUCUCGCUCUUCCCACCACGCGAGGUUACACGGGGAAGCUGGUUGCCUACCACCCAGGAGGCCCUCCCCAGAACCCGGUCAUGCAUCCAGCUUCCGGAACCUUGAAGAAAAAAUGUUUUUUGUUUCCAUGACGUCUAGUCCUGGGGUUAUUAUAGCAGCUGAACAGACAAGACGCUGCUAAUGAGAGAAUUCAGUAACCGCCAGACCUGCCUUCAGCUGGACUGGCAGGAGGAGACGGAAAUACACCUUGAAAAAUCAAAUCCUAUUCACAACAGCAAAAGUAGAAAAAGUAGACCCGCAUGGCCCCUAAGGACAGUGUGGGCCGCAGCCUGGCACCUUGCUGAGACAGGGCAGGGACAUGGCUGUGGUACCUCCCUGUGUCUCCCUGGCUGAGCCUGGGAACCUCAGAACUGUCUUAUGGCAUCAAGAUCCCCAGAGCCGUGGUCAAGGGUGCACCAGGAGCACCACCCUGAAGCACAGCAGGCCCCGUUUACCUGAGAAGCUGGUCAGCCUGCCCAGAGGUCCCCACCAGCGCCACGCCAGCCUCCUGCUCCUGCUGGGACCUCUAGACCCCCUCCGCCGCUUCAGGGCCAAGACGCAGGCCCUGAGGGAAGGGUUCCUUUCCCACUCUCCUCUCCACGAGUGUGUACAGUGUCCUCGUUAACCCUACACACUGGACGCCCGAGGACAAGUAGACUGAGUAAAAGAAAAUAGCUUUAAAUAACCCCCAGGAGGCUCCUGUUGGCCGUGAGAACUCAUCUCCGCUGGGGCUGUAGGGCCACGGGAGAACCUUGGGCAUCACAGGCAGGGCCCUGGUCCAUUCCCCAGCACCACAAAAAUAAGUGAUCAAAUAAAUUUAAUAAGAAGGAUUGAGCCCCUAGUUCUGGACCCUUCUGCCAGCCCCGUGGGGAUUCUUUUUGUCUCUCUGCCUGAGGCUGCUGGUCAGCUCCGCCUAGCUGUGGGUUUUGAAUUUACUUCAGAGAGAUUUUCAACAUUACCUUUGCCUUAGUUUCUACUGUAAUGUGGGUUACCUGGACGUGGGGAGGAGUGCCUGGUCUCCCCAGGAGAAGGUGACAGGAAGCCCCAGGUGCCAGCUUCCUUCUGGCUGCUGCUGGCUGCACUUGACCUUGACACCCUGCUUUCACACCCUCACAUGGACUUUGUGCCUGUUUGUGGCAGUGGGUACCGGUUUUAGAGACCCUUUGGCUCCAAUCACUCUUUCAUUCCGCUCUUGAAAACAGAUGUAUUUUAAUGAGAUUUGUUAACUUGAGAUUUUGUUGAUUUUAUUGAAUGAUAACAGGACCCACCCUACAGCCUAUGUGGAGAACAUUCAGAAAGUCCCAAGUAUGUAAAGAAACAAUGACAGUGACCUUGAUUCCAGUCAAUAACAGUUGCUGUCUACUCCAUCUCGUUUUCCUCUUGGUGAACAUAACAGGUACAGGAUAGGUGAAGACAAGUGCAUGUAAAGUGAAGUACAACAGAUGGACACACGGGAACAGUGACAGACACGGAGCCGCAGGCCCAGAAUGCCACAGCCAGGCCCCUGGCCCAGGCUUCCAGUGGGCUACGUUGUGUGUUUUAGGGUUUGUUUUUAGGGUGUAGCCAGGGCUGUGAGUCCUAGGUAGUGUGUAAUCAAGGUCACACACACUGGGAUUCUAGGUAGGAACCUGAGGUCCUGAAUGGUGCCUGUAAACAAGCGUCCACUGAUGACCCUGGGGGUAGGGUGCCUUCUGGUUCAGACUGUAUGUAAAAAGAGGCUAAAUGAACUUUGGAGGCUGGAGCUGAGGCUCGAGCCUCCUCAGCUUGUCUGCUACCCUAACUGCAUCUUCAUCUUCCUUUACCUGCGGGGACCUGAGUCUGCUUCCUGGUCCAAGUCCCCCCACCACAAAUGGCCAGGCAAUUACACUACAAAUCCAACCUCUAUUUUGGCCUCUUCCACCGACUAUAACAUGAGAAUGUUAUUUUAAAUAAUCAUACAGUAUCCCACCUUUAGAGCUGUGUUUUUCUGGAUCUCUCAGAUUCCUGGACACGGCAUUGAUUUUAACUGUAGGAUUUAAACAGGCAACAGGUGUGGCUAAGUAUCACCAAGUAGCUUUCAGAACAUUGUAUAAUUUUCAGUGAAGAGUUUUAUUUAUGAUCCUCUCUCGGCUUUCGUGCUCAGGAAGUCAUCUCUGCUAGUUAAUUCCUUGGAUCAAUCAAACGUAGCACAGUUUAUUGGAGCAAAGAUUUAUGAACUCAUGAAUCAGGAUCUUAAGCCUCCAGCCAAUGGAGGCAGCUGCUGAUCCGACGGUGCUGACAGAGGUGACCCGAAGACAGCGACACCAUUGGUGGUGGCCUGGUCACCCAGCCAGCCAUGGCUGUCUGGGUUAACUGGCCGCAGGGCCUCCUGCAACCACCAAAGCUUGGCUGCCAUGCGUGGCCUGGAGGGCAGGGCCCAGUGAAGGGGCCAGUUCUCAUCCCCAUCCUAGCCCUUCCUGCUUAGAAAUUAACCACCUGCUGAUACAAAACCUCUUUACCUUAAAAAAACCGUUUGAAACUGCAGUGUCACAUGGAGUAAAACCAGUUAUACUCAUGGCUAUGGACAACAGAAAACCCCAAAUACCAAACCCAGAGGGAAACCGACGUCUGCGUCACAGAGGGCAACUGAGGUCCCCGUCACGGCUGUGAACCUGGCUUGCUGCCCUCCCCACACCUCAGGCUCCUUCAAGUCUGGUAACUCAGGGGUUCUCACCCUAGUGUGAGUGGCAGUCACCUGGGGGUCAUGGAAACCAGCUGGCAGGGCGCCUGGCGCUGUGGGUCUGAGGACAGUCCAGGAAAGCACUGGGGAGCUGCUCCUGACCGGACGCCUCCCCUUCUCCAUCGCACACUCAGUACAAUCACUCGGGGAUUCGGAGUGUGGUCCGCCUAGCAGACCCAUGACAGGCAUCACCGCUGAACACGGUUUAGGUCCCCCCAGGAUGGCGCCAGGGAAAGUAGCAGCUGGGAUCCACUACUCCAGAGAGUGGCACACUGACAAUACUGGGGGAGCCACCCUGCGGGUGCCAGGGGAGACAUGUGCAGAGACCUGCCACCAGCCUGCCAGCUGUCCUGACACUGACAAAGGCAUUUCCUAGGUCUGGGCCCUGGCUCCAGGGCGUCACAUGAGCUAGUGAUCAAACACUUCCGUUGGCUUUUCCCUGCGAGGUUUGCCAGCGUUGGGUGGUCCAUCUCACAGGUGAAGGGAUUCUCAGACACCUGGCUCACCAGCGACUCCCUUCUCUUCCCAAUCAAGGAGGGACAUAUGCCCACUGUUGGUAUUUAGAAAAUACGGGGAUCCUCUGCCCGUCUUCCUACCAUGGAGUCGCCCCGCAUCUCGCUGUCUUUCCUCCCAGUCUUUAAAGGCACCACAGAUCUGGGAUCCCCUGGGCCUGCCGCGACGUGGGUACCCUCUCCCAUGUCACGACCAUGGGGCACAAAGCACCGUGAGCUGCCGAGUCACAAGGCCACGAUGCUCUCUGCCCACCUCAGCACAACAGCAGAGCCAGCUUGCCAGCGCCCCAGGUGGACGAUGGCCCUGGGCUGGGGAGGACUCAGUCAGGACCAAACCAGAGGAGGACGGCCAGGGAGGCGGGAGGCAGGCAAGGGCGAGACUUGGGUGGGGAGGAGGCCAAGUGGGGGGAUCACGGGCAGGUGUUUGCCUCACCUGUGCAUCUCCCACAGAGGAGGUUGCAGAGCUUGAGGGAGGACCACCAGGGCCAUAGCAAGGUGGUGGGCAAACGGCCUAGACCUGGACCAGGGCUGGGUGGUGACCGCGCACAUCACUCUGUGGCAACGACCGGCUUGCAUGCCGCUCCCUGACCCCGGGAGCUCUGCAGAACAUCGCCUGAGCACAUCAGGCACCCUGGACAUCCUGUCCCCCUACAGCUAAGCAGCAGGCACCCGGGACAUCCUGUCCCCCUCACGCAUUCCCACCCCCUGGGCAGUACAGAGGCAGCUCUGUCUGCUGACAGACUGCAUGUGUUUCAUUUCUCAAAACAGAAACCCGACACCAGCAAACGCUGGUGAGGUGGCUGACUGGGGCCUUGAGAGUGGGAGCCCGGCCCACACUCCCACAGAGUCUCCCUUGCCUGGGCCUCAGGGCAGCCCCUGCCUGGGCCCCAGGGCAGCCCCAGCCAGGGCACACACACAGGCCGGCCGGGGCCCACUCCCCUGCCCCGGGAGGGAGAGGAGUUUACCAGGAGCACCAGGCCCUGUGGGCAGCACGCCUCACCUCCCAGGCUGCUCAGCUUGUCCUGGCCAAGGGAGAAGGAAGGCUCCUCGCAGGCUGUGUAUGACACGGUGGGGCCUCGCUCCUGGGCCUCUCGGGCCUCCACCAUCCCCUCAGACUCAUUCUGGGACCUAACUGGGCUCUGGAGUGUGGCUCAGAGGGAUGGCAGAGCAGCACUUAGCCACCACCGUGGACCUGCAGCACCAAGCCGAAGGCCAGACCCACCCGAGUGGGCCCCCAGCUCUUCCUUCCCUCCUCUCCGUCAUUGCCACACACCAGGACCCAGCCAACUUCAAACAGUUCACACCUCCCUUCCAAGAGGACCGCUGGCAGAACCAGCAGACAUGGAGACCCGACGAGAGGCUAGCGCAAACACAGAGUCACAGAGGCUCUCCAGCUGGGUGUGGGAACUCGGUGAGCCUCCCCCAGGGGGCUGCAUGCCGGAUGCUCAGGGCCACAUCACGGGGGCCUCUUCCUUGGGAAGCAGCUGUAUUUGUAGCCAGUUAAAUUCCACCUUCACGGACACCAAUUUCCUGCAGAGAGCCGGGAGCUCAUAAUUUCGGGACUAGCGCUAAGCGAUAAAUAGUUGUUUUAGCAGAUUCCAUUUGAUUUGAUUUUACCCCUGACAGUGAAAGCUAGAAUGCUGUAAGGAAAGAGCACAGAACAGAUUUGAUUAGGAAGAUGAGCCUCUGCCUGGGAGAGCCACUCCACAGUGACCCAGAGAACAGCCCUGACCUCAGGCUUCCUCAAAGCCUGGGGCAAACCAAGGUUCAAGGCAGCAACACCAGGUUGAAGAAGCCCAGUUACGGGAGCUGAGCCCUCUCUGGUAGAGUCUCCACAAGGCCCCAAUGUUCCUGCCUCCAGGCCCUUCACCCUGGACGGGCAGGGCCUGUGUACCAAAGGACACUGCAGAAAUGACGGAGUUAACUUCCAAAGUCAGGUCAUAAAAGUUGCUGCAGCUUCUGCUUCGGGGGAAGCUGCCAGGUCAGGGGGAUGGGCAGGCAGCACUGUGGAGGGGCCCCUGCGGGUACCGGAAGCCUCUGUCAAGAGCUGGCACCCCUUUGCCAGCCAUGCCAGCGAGCCAGCUCCAAGUGCAUCCUCCAGGAGCAGCCAAACCUUCCAAUGGCUGCAGCACCAGCCCAUACCUGGACAGCACCCUCUGAGGAGCCCCUGAGCCAGAGCCACCCAGCGACGGCGCCUUCCAGUUCCCGGCCCACAGACUCCACGUGGCACAGUAAGCAACGUGUAUCUGUUUCCAUGGCAACCUGUCUCUGGCGGGAAGCCUGGUGGAGCCUCCUACGCAGGAUGGACCUUUUAGAGCACCAGCUCCUCCUGAUCAGCAUCCCUGCCUGGGCACCAUGGGCACAAAGCUGACCAUCUGCUCCUCUCCCUGCACCCCUUACCUUCAGCCACUGUGGCAAAGCAGGCGCACACGUGUAGGCGCACACACAUGUGCAGACGCACACCCGUGCAGGUGCACACACGUGCAGACAUGCACACACACACAGCUUUGGUUUAAACCAGGAAACCCCCCAAGCCCCAGGGGCGUGAGCCUCUCCCAGGAAGACUGGGGGCUCAGGAUGUUCUGCAAACUGCUUCCUGCCUCUGCGUGGGCAGGCGGCAGGGGAGGCAGGGGAGGCUGAGCACUGAGGACUGAGAGCCGCUCCUGCUCCUGCUUGCUGAGCCAUAAGCUCUGAGCCUGUGAGCACAGCGGGAGAGAGCAGCUCUGUGCAGCCUCUCUGGCCUCACUGUCGUGUUCAGAGUGGAAUGUCUUCCUCUGCUCUUUCCUAUGCCCCAUCUUGCCACCCUGGGCCAGGACAAGGGUCUUUGGUAAAAUGGAUACACAGAGUGUCUGUGAGCACGAUAAUGUGUCCCAGUCAUGCCAGAGGCCAUCAGCACAGUGUGAGAGGGACGCUUGCCCUGGGGGCACUCUGUGGAGACCCUGGAAGAAAUGAGCAAGAAGUGAGCCGUGUGAGGGAGAAGGUUAGGGCUCCUUCCUCUCAGUGUGCGGCCAGGACGAGCACUCAGGGCCUUGGAGCAUUCUUGUGGAUCAGAGUGGCCCUGGGGGUGGCCACGGUAGGAAGCACUGGGGGCGAACAGAGAGGGACGUCAGGAAGGGAAGGUGCCCUUGAGGAGUGGACCCGCCUGGGCUGGGAGACGGCCAGGGGAGCGAGGUCUCCAUCAUCUCUCUGUGCUCCCUUCCAGUACUGUCUGUCCUUCCAACUGUCACGGCAUAACUGGAGGGCUAUGAGAGCAGAGGAAUACUCUUGUCACAUGGAGUGGGGUCCCAGGGAGAUUCCUGACCCCAGUGAGAACCUAACAUCAGUGUGCACCAGCGCUAUGCCCCUGCUGCCGCAGGACCUCCCCUGGGACCUGGCCUUGUCUCUGCUUGUCCCCUGCCACAUGGCUUCCCUUGGAGAGCUCAUCCAGUGGCUCUCAGGAAUCCCACCUCUGGGUCUCCAGCGCAGCCUCCUGAUGCUCCAGACCCUAAGGGCUGUCCACCCCUCCCACUCUGCAUGUCCAAUCUAAAAUCCUCCUCUGCGAAGGCGUGUCUGUGGCCCUGUUUGUAAGAGUGAGUUGGGAGAUUUGUGGCAGCGUCCCCCCUUGGCUCCCCUCAGGCCCCUGUCCAUUCUGCCCACAGGGCCUAAAUCACCCCAUCCUCACUGCACCCCCCUUCUGACACUCAGGGAGCAGGCCUGCAACCGUACCUGCCGUCAUCCAUGCUUCUCGCCAUCUGGCAAGUGGGGUUCCCGAGAGCUUCCUGGUACUUCAAGGAACAAAGCAAGUGCCGCCAUUUUGCAAAGCCUCCUCUGUGCCCCCAAGACCAUGCCUCCCUGCCUUCUGGAACCUCUGUUCACUCCACCACCGAGGGCCCCUGUGGGCCAUGGGCCAGGCCAAGGGGUUCUGACGUGAAGUCCUGGCUUCAAGGACGGUACAGUCUGGUGACCACCACACCCAUUCACUACUCCCUUGUUUUCUCUCUGAAUUGCAUUCCUUCCGCCAAACUCUUAAAUGGCCAGGACUUGGUCUUGAAUGCUUUUUGUAAAACUCACAAUGACUGAUGAGCCUUCAGGGUUUACAACAAGCUCUUAGUCAAUACUUGUUGGUUAAAUGCAAGUUGAGUGACAGAAUAAGACAAGAGAGACUUGUCACCUGGAACCCUUACUAGGUCACAGAAAUAGCCCUGGUGCAGAGGAAAAGUCAUAUCAAGAAAUUAAAGAAACCGUACUGUGUUUGAACAGUGUUUUACGUGCCUAACCAGUAAUUCAAUUUAACUUGACAAUUUAUUUGACUCAAAUUAUUAAAAUAAUGAUUACAAACCAUUUCCCAAAUUUCACACAAUAAUAUUUACAUUUCAGAAUUAGAGAACUAAUGUGAAAAUCAUUUCGUAGAACUCUAAUUAGAAUGUAGAUAUGAGGAGUCUCCUAAGCGAUUUUACAAGAUAGAAAUAAGCAAAUUGAGAAGCAUCAGAGACAAAAUUGUCAAUGAAACUGUUCUGUCAUAUUAAGAGUGAGAGUGUGAUAGGGUCCAGAUGCACAAGGCCACCACGCCAGGCCCUCAGCAAGGACCUCCUGGAACCAGGGUCAAGGACAGAACUGGGUCAGAGAUCAAGGUAUCUUUUUAAAUGUCUCCAGGAAAAAGAAUCAGAAGUGGAGGAAUCUCCUUUCUCCCCAAGGCAAAAGUCUUGCUAUCAAGAGGGGAGAUGUCCUACCCCUCUGAACCUCAAAUGAGUGGAGUUCCCAUUCCUCGAUCAGAGGACGCAGCAUGGACCUUAACUGAGGCACGUCGCCCGUUCUCAGAAGAGAGCUCAUGUGCUGCACAGAAGCUCAAGAUCUCAGACUAAGUCAGUUCCAGACACACAUUCCUGUCAAAUUUAACCUUUAAAAAAAUGUUCUUACCUGCCAGAAUAUGCUAUCUAUUGUGUUUCCAAGAAAACCAUCACGACCUUCUGAAGACACCAGUUUGGGCCCAAGAAUUGUCAUGAAUUCAUCAAAAUCCACCUGGCCAUCUCCUGAAAGAAAGAGACACGGCUGUAAGUGGAAAAGUGGCUGAACUUGACCUCCCGCACCCAGCAGUAAACACCUCCACCCUCUUCACUUUGGCCUGACCUCAGGAAGUGAACAAGAGCUGGGGGCACUGCUGGAAAUUGUCCAACGUCCUUACAACACCCCAGUACCAGGAGAAACCAGCAUUGCUGGCAUAUCUACUACCCACAUUCCUAACCCUAGUACAGCCACAUGCCCCCGAACAUUGCGUUGGUCAGCGAGGCACACACAAGGGAUUAUCAAGGAAGUGAAAAGUUCCUAUCGCCUGGUGACACAGCCAUCCUUGCAGUGUCCCAGCCCAAUGCACCAUCAGCACAUCUGUGCAGACGCUGGUGCAGACACACCGUGCACUGCGCUGCCGGUCAUGCCCAUGUCCAGUACAGACUGCUUGACAGCGGUAACAGCUAACUUUUAUGCCAAGAACCUCAUUAAUGAAACCAUUGCGCUGGCCGCAUGGUGGACCCAUCGAAUCCGAUGCUCUCAGUGCCUCCCGGGUGGAAUCCGCAACCACUGUCCUUGUGACUGGCUUGUUCACUUAGCAUCACACCCACUCUCCAUCCUGUUGUAGCCCCCGACAGGAAGAGCCUAGAGAUCUGGAAUAUCACCUGGAGCUAUCAAUAAUACAGCUGUGCUAUAUGUGGGACCCUCACCACACAGGGACAUUUCAGCUGCUCUACAACAAAGGGUAACUGAGAUGAUGGGUCUGUCAUUUUCCUUUCCUUAUAGUAACCUUUCUAUAUUGCAAUGGCCUGUGGCUCUUCUGGGGCCACAGUACACAAGCAGAAAUACAGUGUCUCUGUGCUAUUACCAUUUCUACUAUCUGUCUGUAUCCCAUAUUGUCAUGUUGUACAGCUUAAGUAUACAAAAAAAUAAUUAUUCUACAAAUAAA